rnacentral:rRNA from 1 species
AUUGAACGCUGGCGGCAAGCCUAACACAUGCAAGUCGAACGAGUGGCGGACGGGUGAGUAAUGUCUGGGAAACUGCCUGAUGGAGGGGGAUAACUACUGGAAACGGUAGCUAAUACCGCAUACCAUCGGAUGUGCCCAGAUGGGAUUAGCUAGUAGGUGGGGUAAAGGCUCACCUAGGCGACGAUCCCUAGCUGGUCUGAGAGGAUGACCAGCCACAAUGGAACUGUGACACGGUCGAGACUCCUACGGGAGGCGGCAGUUGACAAUAGAGCACGAUGGGCGCAAGCCUGAUGCAGCCAUGCCGCGUUGAUGAAGAAGGCCUUCGGUUUGUAAAUUACUUUCAGCGGGGAGGCGUUACCCGCAGAAGAAGCACCGGCUAACUCCGUGCCAGCAGCCGCGGUGAUAC